rnacentral:rRNA from 1 species
AGAACGAACGCUGGCGGCAUGCCUAAUACAUGCAAGUCGAACGAACUCUUCGGAGUUAGUGGCGCACGGGUGCGUAACGCGUGGGAAUCUGCCCCUUGGUUCGGAAUAACAGCUGGAAACGACUGCUAAUACCGGAUGAUGACGAAAGUCCAAAGAUUUAUCGCCAAGGGAUGAGCCCGCGUAGGAUUAGCUAGUUGGUGAGGUAAAGGCUCACCAAGGCAACGAUCCUUAGCUGGUCUGAGAGGAUGAUCAGCCACACUGGGACUGAGACACGGCCCAGACUCCUACGGGAGGCAGCAGUAGGGAAUAUUGGACAAUGGGCGAAAGCCUGAUCCAGCAAUGCCGCGUGAGUGAUGAAGGCCUUAGGGUUGUAAAGCUCUUUUACCCGAGAUGAUAAUGACAGUAUCGGAGAAUAAGCCCGGCUAACUCCGCGCCAGCAGCCGC